CUUUUUGUAGUGGCACAGGAACUCCUUGCUGUCUAAUGGAAGAGAUGUUUUGGGAUCGACUAUUUGGAAACAGCAUGCUCUUCGUUGUAUUUUGGAAGAACGCUGUGUGGGUCUCAACUUUAUUAAUCUUUCUGCAAAGCUGGAUCAUAAGGAAAAAGAUUACAGAUUUGGAUUCGGGUUGACAGUGGGCUAAUUUAAAGAACUGAAGUUUUGUGUUCCUCCCAGCACGUUAAUGAAUGGGCGUCACUCCAUAGAACAUGCCACUCCAAUUUUCACCAAAGAAGUCAGGCACUCCUCCAUGCUUUAUUUUUUCUUCAAUAAGUUUGAAAGCCAUAGAAACCCGGCGAAAUUCAAAUGUUUGGGACUUUUUUCUUUGAACCACUUGUGAGUUGUCUUUUUCAAUGUUCGUCACAGAUUUCUGGUAUCAACUCGCAGUGUAUACUGUCAGCUUUUCGCCCUUACCCAGGUCCCUGAGUGAAUCGAUAAUUUUCUGUUAUAAAACAUGCAUCUUUGGGAUUUUUAGCCAGUUAGUAAUCUGUUUAAGAUUUCUUAUUUUAACCUGCAAGACAAAAGUUUCUUAAACUUG